GCAGCUUGCUGCUUCGCUGACGAGUGGCGGACGGGUGAGUAAUGUCUGGGAAGCUGCCUGAUGGAGGGGGAUAACUACUGGAAACGGUAGCUAAUACCGCAUAAUGUCGCAAGACCAAAGAGGGGGACCUUCGGGCCUCUUGCCAUCGGAUGUGCCCAGAUGGGAUUAGCUUGUUGGUGGGGUAACGGCUCACCAAGGCGACGAUCCCUAGCUGGUCUGAGAGGAUGACCAGCCACACUGGAACUGAGACACGGUCCAGACUCCUACGGGAGGCAGCAGUGGGGAAUAUUGCACAAUGGGCGCAAGCCUGAUGCAGCCAUGCCGCGUGUAUGAAGAAGGCCUUCGGGUUGUAAAGUACUUUCAGCGGGGAGGAAGGGAGUAAAGUUAAUACCUUUGCUCAUUGACGUUACCCGCAGAAGAAGCACCGGCUAACUCCGUGCCAGCAGCCGCGGUAAUACGGAGGGUGCAAGCGUUAAUCGGAAUUACUGGGCGUAAAGCGCACGCAGGCGGUUUGUUAAGUCAGAUGUGAAAUCCCCGGGCUCAACCUGGGAACUGCAUCUGAUACUGGCAAGCUUGAGUCUCGUAGAGGGGGGUAGAAUUCCAGGUGUAGCGGUGAAAUGCGUAGAGAUCUGGAGGAAUACCGGUGGCGAAGGCGGCCCCCUGGACGAAGACUGACGCUCAGGUGCGAAAGCGUGGGGAGCAAACAGGAUUAGAUACCCUGGUAGUCCACGCCGUAAACGAUGUCGACUUGGAGGUUGUGCCCUUGAGGCGUGGCUUCCGGAGCUAACGCGUUAAGUCGACCGCCUGGGGAGUACGGCCGCAAGGUUAAAACUCAAAUGAAUUGACGGGGGCCCGCACAAGCGGUGGAGCAUGUGGUUUAAUUCGAUGCAACGCGAAGAACCUUACCUGGUCUUGACAUCCACGGAAGUUUUCAGAGAUGAGAAUGUGCCUUCGGGAACCGUGAGACAGGUGCUGCAUGGCUGUCGUCAGCUCGUGUUGUGAAAUGUUGGGUUAAGUCCCGCAACGAGCGCAACCCUUAUCCUUUGUUGCCAGCGGUCCGGCCGGGAACUCAAAGGAGACUGCCGGUGAUAAACUGGAGGAAGGUGGGGAUGACGUCAAGUCAUCAUGGCCCUUACGACCAGGGCUACACACGUGCUACAAUGGCGCAUACAAAGAGAAGCGACCUCGCGAGAGCAAGCGGACCUCAUAAAGUGCGUCGUAGUCCGGAUUGGAGUCUGCAACUCGACUCCAUGAAGUCGGAAUCGCUAGUAAUCGUGGAUCAGAAUGCCACGGUGAAUACGUUCCCGGGCCUUGUACACACCGCCCGUCACACCAUGGGAGUGGGUUGCAAAAGAAGUAGGUAGCUUAACCUUCGGGAGGGCGCUUACCACUUUGUGAUUCAUGACUGGGGUGAAGUCGUAACAAGGUA
rnacentral:rRNA from 1 species